AAAUAUAUGAAUAUCUUAUACAAGCUAAAAGAGUUUUUAUGAAUGUCUGAAAACUUGAUUCCAGUACGCAAAUACCAAACUUUUGUUUCAACAGUAUUAGAUUCUGAAUUCUGAUUCCAAGGUAUGUAAAGCGUUACAUCAGGGUCUUCUUUAUAACAAUUAUUAUGUUACUCUUCAUUUCCUUCAAUGUCAUGGUUUGGUGCCACCCACUAAUACAAAGAAGGUUAGGAACCAAAUUAUGUUUAGGGAGGUGUUUUUUAUCAUUUGGCUAUUGUAAAUCAUAUUAAAGUUGUUUUAGGGUGGUUUAUAAUUUUGACCAGUGAUUGUAUAAGUUAGAGGACUUCUUGUACCGUUAAAGUAAUUGAAAUUGAAAUUAAGUUGAUUAAUGUUGUAUAACAACUUAAAUUAUUUGAAGAUAUUAAUAAAGUGACGAAAGAUAAAAAAUAAUAAUUUUUAUAAGAUAGUGGAUAAAUUAUCUAUAAUAUUUUAAAUGCAGUUUAAGUUUCAUUAUAUUAAAAAAGAGAAUGUUGUUAGUAUUACUCUUUCUAUAUUUAAUUACAAUAAAAUGAAAAAAAAAUAAAAGCAAAAAUUUAAGACACACCGUCUCUAACAAAAAAAUAAUUCAUAAAUUAAUCCUCACAAUCAUAUAAAAGAGACAUAUUAUUGUGUACAUUAAAAUUCAAAUAAUUAUUUUUAUUCAACUCCUUGGCCACCCUUCCCUCGACGGUGUCUUGUUCUUGAAGAGUAUAAAACAUGUAUUGUGUAUGAUUUGAAACAAAUAUGUAUUUAUUUGAUCAGAAUUAUUAGCCACUAGUCAAUUUUCGCUGGAAGUUUUCAGAGGGACUAACGUGUCCCACACAUAUCAUAAUUAUAAGAAACUAAUUUAGACAUUAUUUUUUUUAGAGACUAUUGAGUUGCACUGAAAUUAUUGGCGACUAUUCCUUCAUAAUAAAAUAUAAUUAAAAAAAUUAAUGUUAAAUUAAAAUUAAAUAUAUAAAAUAUUAAAAUAUAUUUUUAUUUAUAUUUGAUAGUUUGUUUGUCUAGUUUACUUUUAAUUUUUGAUGAGUCUCUAUUAUUUAAAUCUUAAAAAAAUAGAGAUAUUUUAAAAAGUUGAGUCUGGGAAAGGGUGAAGCGGAAAGUGAGAGGAAAAGGAGGAAGAAAAGAAAUGGCGGAAACAAAAGAAACAGUGAAGCACAUAGUAAUCGGAAAGUUCAAAGACGAGAUUUCCGAAGAGAGAAUUGAUGAACUCAUCAAAGGCUAUGCCAAUCUCGUCAAUCUCAUCCCAACCAUGAAGUCAUUCCACUGGUUUGUUUCUGCUACCCCAUUCUUUCUCAUUCUUUCAAUUUUAACAACCCACCUUAGGUCACCACAAUUACCACCUAUUUCUUCACAAAUUACAAAUUAAGGUUGGUUAAUCAAUGAGUACUCUUUUUGUAUAGAUUACAAGAAUAAGUUAAACAUUAAUUAGGGUUUGCUCCAAUUUUCGUUUUUUUUUUUUUUUAAAAGUCUGAGUGAAAUUGCAGAGUUCUAAAAUUAAGAUCUAUCAAAUUUCUGCAUUCUAGCAUCUUUUGCUAUCUGUUAUUUACAUAAGUGAUUAUGAGAAUUGACGUUAGAUUAUUGAGAAAAAUCUGCACUUGAACCUUUUUAUUGGCCUUUAAUUGAAAACAUUUAAAAGCAACAUUAUCUAAUAAUAAUGUUUAUGUUAUUGUGUAUUAUAGGGGCAAGGAUGUUAGUGGUGAAAACUUACAUCAAGGUUAUACUCAUGUAUUUGAAUCAACCUUUGAGAGUGUGGAAGGCAUUGCAGAGUAUGUAGCUCAUCCUACCCAUGUUGAGUAUGCUAAUUUGCUCCUUCCCUCUUUGGAAAAAGUGCUUAUAAUUGACUAUAAGCCCACCUUCGUUAAUCUUUAAUCUUUGAUCGGAUCACUAAUGGAAUAUUCUGUUCAAAAUAAAUUUGGGGGCAAACAAUUUCAUGGAUGAUGAUGGUGUCUCUUAUUGUAUUGGUUCUGCUGUUUUUUUUUUUUUUUUUUGGAAAAAGUGCUUAUAAUUGACUAUAAGCCCACCUUCGUUAAUCUUUAAUCUUUGAUCGGAUCACUAAUGGAAUAUUCUGUUCAAAAUAAAUUUGGGGGCAAACAAUUUCAUGGAUGAUGAUGGUGUCUCUUAUUGUAUUGGUUCUGCUUUUUUUUUUUUUUUUUGUUAAAAAUAAACCAAUUAAAUUCC
rnacentral:lncRNA from 1 species